rnacentral:rRNA from 1 species
UACCAGCACCCCGAGUGGUCGGGACGAUUAUUGGGCCUAAAGCAUCCGUAGCCGGCCUUACAAGUCCCCCGUUAAAUCCAACUGCUUAACAGAUGGGCUGCGGAGGAUACUAUAAGACUAGGAGGCAGGAGAGGCAAGCGGUACUCAGUGGGUAGGGGUAAAAUCCGUUGAUCCAUUGAAGAACACCGGUGGCGAAGGCGGCCAUCUGGACCGCAACUGACGCUGAGGCGCGAAAGCGUGGGGAGCAAACAGG